ACUAGUCAACUGCCUAAAUAUAGAGUGCAUCUACAGGAAGCUAAGUUAUUGCUGCAUGUCUAAUGUAAUUCUCAGUUAGUACUUUAUCAGUAUUGUCAAUGAUGUAUAUUAUUUCCCCUCUGCACCAGGUCGACAAGCCGCCGGUGGCUUCCCCCACCGCCCCUCCUCCCAGAUGAUACAGGAAGCCAUGGCGGCGUGACUGGCCCGCUCGCCGAUGCCGCGUGUGUUGUUUCAGUGACGCCGCGCGUCUCCGUCAAUCAUGCUGGUCUGUGUCAUGCGCGUGGGCGAGGGAGCAUGACGCGGUGCUGCACGCAGCCAUGGGGCACCGGCGACUAGGAGGUCGACCUGCUCAUCCCGGAGACGCCACCGUUCCAGGGGCUUGUAGGCGUCAGCUUCAAAGGGUAUCGCCAUGGCCGACAUGGGCAGCCUGGAGCGCCUCCAAAAAUAGUAGUAGCACGUGAUCCGCAAGGAGCUGCCGGUGGUGGUCGUGCCUCACCUGCUUCCCCAGCUACAUGUUUGAGUGUGCAUGUAGCUUACACCAUUGCACCUGCUGGCUGCUGCAUAUAUUGUAUUUGCUGUCAGUUGGUUCAAUGCAAAUAUUAGUUUUGGGAGUGAUUAUUGGGAUUGGUGAUCUUGUGCUAGUCGUUUAUUUAGUCACCGCAUGCU